UACGUAGGGUGCAAGCGUUGUCCGGAAUCAUUGGGCGUAAAGAGCGUGUAGGCGGCCCGGUAAGUCCGCUGUGAAAGUCGGGGGCUCAACCCUCGAAUGCCGGUGGAUACUGUCGGGCUUGAGUACGGAAGAGGCGAGUGGAAUUCCUGGUGUAGCGGUGAAAUGCGCAGAUAUCAGGAGGAACACCAAUUGCGAAGGCAGCUCGCUGGGACGUUACUGACGCUGAGACGCGAAAGCGUGGGGAGCAAACAGG
rnacentral:rRNA from 1 species